UACGUAGGCAGCGAGCGUUGUUCGGAGUUACUGGGCGUAAAGAGCGCGUUAGGCGGUCCGAUAAGUCGGCUGUGAAAGUCAGGGGCUCAACCCUUGAAAGCCGGCCGAUACUGUCGGACUAGAGUCCGGAAGAGGCAAGUGGAAUUCCCGGUGAGCGGUGAAAUGCGCAGAUAAUCGGGAGGAACACCAAUGGCGAAGGCAGCUUGCUGGGACGGUAGUGACGCUGAGGCGCGAAAG
rnacentral:rRNA from 1 species